AUACCGUUAUCAAACACCGCCCGUAUUUAUUAGUCAACGAUGGCUUUAUAACUAUAUCGUUCCCUUUGACUUGUUUAAACUGGGCUGGAUGUGCCACAGGUAGGCCUACCAGUACAAGAGAAAAGGUCAGCGUCAGGUAAUAGAGUCUGACAAUAGGACUAAAACACGACCUCCAUUAAGAAGGAAAAGAAACUGCCAACAGGCAUCUACACGCAAACAGUCACCACAUGAUUCGAAUAGUGUUGGUUGCCUUGCAUAACAGCAUAAAAUGCACUGUUAAGCAUUUGUCGGAGAUAUGGCUGGACUACCAACCCCUAACAUUCCCCUUGCCUUUGACUUGAAAAUAAUCACUUCGCCAUGUACAUUUCAACUUCGCAUAGCAGAAAAAGAAGUGGUCUAUGCAGUGCUGGGAGCAGCUGCCGUUACUGGAGUGACUGCCGCUGGACUUGCUGCAUUUUUUCUUCGACAUAAUGAGGACGUUCGGCGCAUUAUCAGGAAUGUAAUAGUGGGCAAUGAUCAUGAUCAAGACCCAGCAGUUAAUGAUAUUAACCCAGGAUCACUGCUUGUGGAUAUUACAUGCAAAACCGAAGGGAGUCUCCUGGCGCUUGGCCGCCGAUAUCUUGAUGGUUCUCUGGCCACGGACAUAGAAAAUGGCCUUAAAUCAAUUGGAUACGAUCAACCAAUCACUGUGACCGCCGAAAAAGAUGGCAAACCAUUUGCAUUGGACAAGGUGCACCAAGCAC